rnacentral:sRNA from 1 species
ACAGCAAGAUUAAGCAGCAGCACGGCCCGGUGCUUUCCAGCAGCCUGAAGAAUGCUGUGAUCAAGAUGUUUCUCUCACAUCCGUGUGCUUAGCCGCCCUUGGAUGUUUGGCCCCCAGAGCGCCUAAUCCUGUCUCUGGGCACGCGGCCAGGCCUUGCUGGGAGCCAGGCGGGGCCCACGGGGCAGUGACAGGCUGAAGACUCAACUAGAGUCAAGGACAGGGUCUCCGGCCAGGGUGGCUUGCGCAGCCACCGACGUCUCCCGGGCCCACAGUCACAGGAGACUCCUGGUGAAGACACUGAACUCCCUCACCAGCCCCAUGUCCUCCCUGGGCAGGGCAGGAGGGGCCCCUGGAGAGGCCAGGGAGGAGGUGUGGGGCCUCGGUGGCAUUGGCAGGCCACCCCCGCAGAGCUGCACAAAGGUGGAAUUUGGCCUUGUUUAGGGAGUGUUGGCCCAGCUGGCUUACCAAAACAGGAAAGGCCUUUGGAUACAGAAACUGGGUGUUUUCCUGCUGGAUCUUCAUGGUUCCCCCGUCAUGCUUGCCGUAAGAAUAAGUGAGGUCCGGGGAGGGGGUAAGGUCGGAGCCAGGACACCUGGCCCCAGCCUGCUGGUUUGUCCUCUCCCUCCGUCUCAGAAGCCUCUUCACCGCUCCACGCCCAUCUGUGGAAAUCUUUCAUCCUCCUGAUUUUUUUUUUUGAGUCUGGGUUGCCGACAUCAAAACCCGUUAGGAGUUCAUCACAGCUUCCAGUUGCCAUGAAAGCCUCCCGUGACCUGUGAGAAUGGUGCUGGUGCUGAUGGAGAAGUUACUUGGGCUGAGCACACAGGCCGUGAUUUCAUCACGCCAGGGACAUGCUCAAAAUAACAAGCCAGGAAAAAGAAAUAUUUGACAACCAGCUCCUUGAAGAGCGGAACCGGCGCCGUUGGUGAGGGAGCAGCCGGCUGUGCUGUCAGCGGGGCCUGGCGGUGGAAGCGCCUCCAGUGUGCUUGAGCGUGUCUGAAGAUGGGGAACUCAGGGGGCACGUUUGCGUUUGGACCUGUCUGUGCUUUCUCCUGCGUGGCAGUCCUGAUUUCCAUACUUCUGGAAAAUCCAUUUCGUUAACACUGAAAGCCAGUUCUCUUUUCCUGGCAGUUUUGUUCAUUUUAUUUUUGGCAUUUUUUACAAGAUACCGUUCGGGAAAGGCUUUUGAAAGGACGGAAGCGUAUUCACUGUGCGCCAGUACUCCUGGCUGUGCUGUGGUUUCUCCCGACGUGCACAUUGAUCUCGUGUG